CAGUCGCCACGGGAAUACGGAGGGGGCUAGCGUUGUUCGGAAUUACUGGGCGUAAAGCGUGCGCAGGCGGUUCGUUAAGACAGAUGUGAAAUCCCCGGGCUUAACCUGGGAACUGCAUUUGUGACUGGCGAGCUAGAGUAUGGCAGAGGGGGGUAGAAUUCCACGUGUAGCAGUGAAAUGCGUAGAGAUGUGGAGGAAUACCGAUGGCGAAGGCAGCCCCCUGGGCCAAUACUGACGCUCAUGCACGAAAGCGUGGGGAGCAAACAGGAUUAGAUACCCCAGUAGUCCCUGUCUCUUAUAC
rnacentral:rRNA from 1 species